rnacentral:sRNA from 1 species
GUCGUGAGAUGUUGGGUUAAGUCCCGCAACGAGCGCAACCCUUGUCCCUAGUUGCUACGCAAGGGCACUCUAGGGAGACUGCCGGUGACAAACCGGAGGAAGGUGGGGAUGACGUCAAGUCCUCAUGGCCCUUAUGGGUAGGGCUUCACACGUCAUACAAUGGCCGGUACAGAGGGUUGCCAACCCGCGAGGGGGAGCCAAUCCCAGAAAGCCGGUCGUAGUCCGGAUUGCAGUCUGCAACUCGACUGCAUGGGGUCGGAAUCGCUAGUAAUCGCGGAUCAGCAUGCCGCGGUGAAUACGUUCCCGGGUCUUGUACACACCGCCCGUCACACCAUGGGAGCGGGAUGUACCAGAAGCAGCUAGCCUAACCCGAGGUGCAAACUGAGGGAGGGCGGUUGCCACGGUGCGUUUCGUGACUGGGGUGAAGUCGUAACAAGGUAGCCGUAUCGGAAGGUGCGGCUGGAUCACCUCCUUUCUCGGAAAAGCCUGGGGGUUCCAGUGCUCACGCUUAUCGGUUGUGGGUUUCAGCUAUCAGCUAUCAGCUAUCAGCAAAGACGCAGUCCAAGGCACGCGGUUGCUGACAGCCGACAGCUGAAAGCGGAUAGCUGACAAGGGCCUGUAGCUCAGUUGGUUAGAGCACCGUCUUGAUAAGGCGGGGGUCGAUGGUUCGAAUCCAUCCAGACCCACCAGUUUCAGCGAUCAGCUAUCAGCAUUCAGCAAAGACGUAGCCUAGGGCAAGCGGUUGCUGAGAGCUGAGAGCUGAGAGCUGAGUGCUGAAAGGGGCUGUAGCUCAGUUGGGAGAGCACCUGCUUUGCAAGCAGGGGGUCGUCGGUUCGAUCCCGUCCAGCUCCACCAACGGAGGGGUGGUAGAAGGGGUUGCUGAGAGCUGACAGCUGAAAGCUGAGUGCUGAAAGCUGAAAGCUGAAAGCUGAGAGCUGACAGCUGAAAGCUGAGUGCUGAAAGCUGAGAGCUGAGAGCUGGAAAAGUAGAGAGCAGAAGCAAGCGGCGGGGGCCGCGGUUUGCUUCUGGCUUUUUGAGUCAGUGGUUAUCGGCUGUUCUUUAACAAUGCGGAAGCAGUAAGAGAAAUCUUGCCUGACGGGCGGGGGGUUGGGCGCGAGCCUGGUCUUUCGGCGCGUGGGGCGAGAUGGGUUGAUUGUAUGUAGAGCCCUGCGGUUCCCGAGGUUUGGGGGCGGUGGGGUAGCGCAAACGCCCGUAGCCUGAGUGAAGGUGUGCUCAGCGUUAUGGGGUCAAGCGACUAAGUGCAUGUGGUGGAUGCCUUGGCGAUCACAGGCGACGAAGGACGUGGCAGCCUGCGAAAAGCUGCGGGGAGCUGGCAAACGAGCAUUGAUCCGCAGAUGU